rnacentral:rRNA from 1 species
AGAAGCACGCUUCACAAUACCAUUCCAGCGAAACUUAUUACGCCAGAUAGCAAUAGUUCAACUUGCUAACUCUUUUAAGAGGAGCCAGUCAGACUGGCAAACCUCCAAAUCCAAGCCAUUAAGAAACCCUAAUGGUUGAGAUUUCAUGACACUCAAACAGGCAUGCUCUCCGGAAUACCAGAGAGCGCAAGUUGCGUUCAAAGAUUCGAUGAUUCACUGAAUUCUGCAAUUCACAUUACUUAUCGCAUUUCGCUGCGUUCUUCAUCGAUGCGAGAGCCAAGAGAUCCGUUGUUGAAAGUUUUUUUUUGUUAUGAUCUAAUGACGUUCAUUACACAAUGUUUGGUAUAAAAAAUCGAAUCCGAAGAAUUCCAAUCAAACAGUUCACAGGGGGUAAAAAAAAANUUUUUAAA